CCGCGCUUGCGUGGAAAGAGCGCAUUUAUUAGAACAAAACCAAGCGGCUUCGGCCGUCCAUUGUUGACUCAGAAUAACUAAGCUGACCGCAUGGUCUUGAACCGGCGGCGUGUCUUUCAAGCAUCUGCAUUAUCAACUUUCGAUGGUAGUGUCAGUGACUACCAUGGUGGUGACGGUUAACGGAGGAUCAGGGUUCGACUCCGGAGAAGGGGCCUGAGAAAUGGCCACUACGUCUAAGGAUGGCAGCAGGCGCGCAAAUUACCCACUCUCAAUUCGAGGAGGUAGUGACGAGAAAUAACGAGACCGUUCUCUUCAGAGGCCGGUCAUCGGAAUGGGUACAAUCCAAACCCUUUAACGAGUAUCUAUGAGAGGGCAAGUCUGGUGCCAGCAGCCGCGGUAAUUCCAGCUCUCAAAAUGCAUAGAAUUAUUGCUGCGGUUAAAAAGCUCGUAGUUGGAUCUGUGCCGGCGUGUCGGUCCACCCUCCGUGGUGCGUACUGGCAGCCGUCGGCUUUCCGCAGUCAAACGGCCCGUCGGCCUUCACUGGUCGGCGGUGUCCGUCGCUGCAAGUUUACUUUGAACAAAUCAGAGUGCUCACAACAGGCGUCAAGCUUGAAUGUUCGUGCAUGGAAUAAUAGAAGAGGAUUUCGGUUCUAUUUUAUUGGUUUUAUAGACUGAGAUAAUGGUUAACAGAGACAAACGGGGGCAUUCGUAUUGCUACGUGAGAGGUGAAAUUCUUGGACCGUAGCCAGACGAACCACAGCGAAAGCAUUUGCCAAGAAUGUCUUCAUUAAUCAAGAACGAAAGUCAGAGGUUCGAAGGCGAUCAGAUACCGCCCUAGUUCUGACCGUAAACGAUGCCAACUAGCGAUCCGCCAAUGGAACCACAAAAAGUCGCCAUGGUGGGGAGCUUCCCGGAAACGAAAGUCUUCCGGUUCCGGGGGAAGUAUGGUUGCAAAGCUGAAACUUAAAGGAAUUGACGGAAGGGCACCACCAGAAGUGGAGCUUGCGGCUUAAUUUGACUCAACACGGGAAAACUCACCCAGGCAGGACAUUGGCAGGAUAGUCUGACUGAAGCUCAUACUUGAUUCAAUGGAUGGUGGUGCAUGGCCGUUCUUAGUUCGUGGAUUGAUUUGUCUGGUUAAUUCCGAUAACGAGCGAGACUCUGGCCUACUAACUAGUCCGUGCAUUGCCACUGUGCAUGGGACUUCUUAGAGGGAUUCACGGCGUUCAGCCGCAAGAAAUUGAGCAAUAACAGGUCUGUGAUGCCCUUAGAUGUCCGGGGCUGCACGCGUGCUACACUGGCAAAAUCAGCGUGCUUGUCCUUGCCCGAGAGGGCUUGGUAAACCCCUGAAAAUUUGCCGUGAUUGGGAUCGGAGAUUGCAAUUAUUUUCCGUGAACGAGGAAUUUCUCGUAAGUGCGAGUCAUCAACUCGCGUUGAUUACGUCCCUGCCCUUUGUACACACCGCCCGUCGCUGCCCGGGACUGAGCCAUUUCGAGAAACUUGGGGACCGAUGGCGUGUGGGGNUUCGGCCCUGCUGCUGUUGGGAACCAAUUUAAUCGCAGUGGCUUGAACCGGGCAAAAGUCGUAACAAGGUAGCUGUAGGUGAACCUGC
rnacentral:rRNA from 1 species